rnacentral:rRNA from 1 species
UACGGAAGGUCCGGGCGUUAUCCGGAUUUACUGGGUGUAAAGGGAGCGUAGACGGAGUGGCAAGUCUGAUGUGAAAACCCGGGGCUCAACCCCGGGACUGCAUUGGAAACUGUCAAUCUAGAGUACCGGAGAGGUAAGCGGAAUUCCUAGUGUAGCGGUGAAAUGCGUAGAUAUUAGGAGGAACACCAGUGGCGAAGGCGGCUUACUGGACGGUAACUGACGUUGAGGCUCGAAAGCGUGGGGAGCAAACAGGAUUAGAAACCCCGGUAUCCGGCACUGAU